AGUCAAUAGAUACCCGGGUAGUCCACGCCCUAAACGAUGUCUACUAGUUGUUGGUGGAGUAAAAUCCAUGAGUAAACGCAGCUAAACGCGUGAAGUAGACCGCCUGGGGAGUACGGUCGCAAGAUUAAAACUCAAAGGAACUGACGGGGGCCCGCACAAGCGGUGGAUUAUGUGGAUUAAAUUCGAUGCAACGCGAAAAACCUUACCUGGCCUUGACAUGCCACUAACGAAGCAGAGAUGCAUUAGGUGCCCGUAAGGGAAAGUGGACACAGGUGCUGCAUGGCUGUCGUCAGCUCGUGUCGUGAGAUGUUGGGUUAAGUCCCGCAACGAGCGCAACCCUUGCCAUUAAUUGCCAUCAUUUAGUUGGGCACUUUAAUGGGACUGCCGGUGACAAACCGGAGGAAGGUGGGGAUGACGUCAAGUCCUCAUGGCCCUUAUGGCCAGGGCUUCACACGUAGUACAAUGGUCGGUACAGAGAGUUGCCAACCCGCGAGGGGAGCUAAUCUCAGAAAGCCGAUCGUAGUCCGGAUUGUUCUCUGC
rnacentral:rRNA from 1 species